rnacentral:rRNA from 1 species
GACAGAGGGUGCAAACGUUGUUCGGAAUUACUGGGCGUAAAGCGCGUGUAGGCGGCCAUCUAAGUCGGGCGUGAAAUCCCACGGCUCAACCGUGGAAGUGCACUCGAAACUGGAUGGCUAGAGUCCUGGAGAGGAAGGUGGAAUGCUUGGUGUAGAGGUGAAAUUCGUAGAUAUCAAGCGGAACACCGGUGGCGAAGGCGGCCUUCUGGACAGUGACGUGACGCUGAGACGGCGAAAGCGUGGGGAGCAAACAGGG